CUGGGUGUUGCAAAUCAGAGUUCAAAGGCAUGGCCAUGGAGCAGAUCGAGCAUAAGUGCAGAUAGAAAGAUGAAGACAGUGGGAGGAAGACAAACUGCUGGUUUGGCUAUUUAGGGAAGAAUGGAGACAUGUGAAGUCUUAGCAAUGGCUUGCUCUUCUCUCUCUCCUUUUAAUAUCAGAAAACCACCUUCCUUGGUUGGUAUGGCUGCCCAUCCCCUUCUCCAUUGUUCUCACAGGUGCUAGCUUUUAAUUGGCUGAAGGUUGAAGCCCAUACAUAGACUAUACUGUUGACCCAUUGACUAUUAAUCUAUUGUGCACGUGA